rnacentral:rRNA from 1 species
AUUGAACGCUGGCGGCAUGCCUUACACAUGCAAGUCGAACGGUAACAGGUCUUCGGAUGCUGACGAGUGGCGAACGGGUGAGUAAUACAUCGGAACGUGCCUAGUAGUGGGGGAUAACUACUCGAAAGAGUGGCUAUUACCGCAUGAGAUCUACGGAUGAAAGCAGGGGAUCGCAAGACCUUGUGCUACUAGAGCGGCCGAUGGCAGAUUAGGUAGUUGGUGGGAUAAAAGCUUACCAAGCAGACGAUCUGUAGCUGGUCUGAGAGGACGAUCAGCCACACUGGGAAUGAGACACGGCCCAGGCUCCUACGGGAGGCAGCAGUGGGGAAUCUUGGACAAUGGGCGCAAGCCUGAUCCAGCAAUGCCGCGUGCAGGAUGAAGGCCUUCGGGUUGUAAACUGCUUUUGUACGGAACGAAAAGCCCUGGGUUAAUACCCUGGGGUCAUGACGGUACCGUAAGAAUAAGCACCGGCUAACUACGUGCCAGCAGCCGCCGUAACAC